GACGAACGCUGGCGGCGUGCUUAACACAUGCAAGUCGAACGGAAAGGCCCUGCUUUUGUGGGGUGCUCGAGUGGCGAACGGGUGAGUAACACGUGAGUAACCUGCCCUUGACUUUGGGAUAACUUCAGGAAACUGGGGCUAAUACCGGAUAAGAGCUCCUGCUGCAUGGUGGGGGUUGGAAAGUUUCGGCGGUUGGGGAUGGACUCGCGGCUUAUCAGCUUGUUGGUGGGGUAGUGGCUUACCAAGGCUUUGACGGGUAGCCGGCCUGAGCGGGUGACCGGCCACAUUGGGACUGAGAUACGGCCCAGACUCCUACGGGAGGCAGCAGUGGGGAAUAUUGCACAAUGGGCGGAAGCCUGAUGCAGCAACGCCGCGUGCGGGAUGACGGCCUUCGGGUUGUAAACCGCUUUCGCCUGUGACGAAGCGUGAGUGACGGUAAUGGGUAAAGAAGCACCGGCUAACUACGUG
rnacentral:rRNA from 1 species